rnacentral:rRNA from 1 species
UAGGGAAUCUUCCGCAAUGGGCGAAAGCCUGACGGAGCAACGCCGCGUGAGUGAUGAAGGUCUUCGGAUCGUAAAACUCUGUUAUUAGGGAAGAACAAAUGUGUAAGUAACUAUGCACGUCUUGACGGUACCUCAUCAGAAAGCCACGGCUAACUACGUGCCAGCAGCCGCGGUAAUACGUAGGUGGCAAGCGUUAUCCGGAAUUAUUGGGCGUAAAGCGCGCGUAGGCGGUUUUUUAAGUCUGAUGUGAAAGCCCACGGCUCAACCGUGGAGGGUCAUUGGAAACUGGAAAACUUGAGUGCAGAAGAGGAAAGUGGAAUUCCAUGUGUAGCGGUGAAAUGCGCAGAGAUAUGGAGGAACACCAGUGGCGAAGGCGACUUUCUGGUCUGUAACUGACGCUGAGGUGCGAAAGCGUGGGGAUCAAACAGG